AAGUCGAACGAGACUUCGGUCUAGUGGCGGACGGGUGAGUAACGCGUAGGAACCUGCCAAUCAGUGGGGAAUAACAGCUGGAAACGGCUGCUAAUACCGCAUACGCCCUUCGGGGGAAAGCUUUAUGCGCUCAGGGAGGGUCCCGCGUCCGAUUAGUUAGUUGGCGGGGUAACGGCCCACCAAGACAUCGAUCGGUAGCUGGUCUGAGAGGAUGAUCAGCCACACUGGGACUGAGACACGGCCCAGACUCC
rnacentral:rRNA from 1 species